GACAUCCACGGAAGUUUUCAGAGAUGAGAAUGUGCCUUCGGGAACCGUGAGACAGGUGCUGCAUGGCUGUCGUCAGCUCGUGUUGUGAAAUGUUGGGUUAAGUCCCGCAACGAGCGCAACCCUUAUCCUUUGUUGCCAGCGAUUAGGUCGGGAACUCAAAGGAGACUGCCAGUGAUAAACUGGAGGAAGGUGGGGAUGACGUCAAGUCAUCAUGGCCCUUACGACCAGGGCUACACACGUGCUACAAUGGCGCAUACAAAGAGAAGCGACCUCGCGAGAGCAAGCGGACCUCAUAAAGUGCGUCGUAGUCCGGAUUGGAGUCUGCAACUCGACUCCAUGAAGUCGGAAUCGCUAGUAAUCGUGGAUCAGAAUGCCACGGUGAAUACGUUCCCGGGCCUUGUACACACCGCCCGUCACACCAUGGGAGUGGGUUGCAAAAGAAGUAGGUAGCUUAACCUUCGGGAGGGCGCUUACCACUUUGUGAUUCAUGACUGGGGUGAAGUCGUAACAAGGUAACCGUAGGGGAACCUGCGGUUGGA
rnacentral:rRNA from 1 species